GGUGAACCUGCGGAAGGAUCAUAGUUAUGGAGAGGUCAGCCUUCACAGGCCCCUCGUCACAAUUUGGAUGCAAUGCGUUAACUCGCUAGUCUUGGUCACUCUGGUGGUCUUGACAAAACUUUGUAAUCCACCUUAUGCCUAUUUSAAAUACAAGAGAAUUACAACCAGUAGCGUUGGAUCCCUUGGCACGUCAUUCGAUGAAGACCGUUGCAAAAUGCGAUAAGUGGUGUGAUAUGCAAGUCCAAAACUUAUACGUGAACCAUCGAAUCGUUGAACGCACUGCAUCGAGCCUUACCCAGGAACGAUACGCCCCAUUGAGCGUCAUUAUGUCUUCGUGACUGUCAUUUAUUUGGCCUGUCCGGGUUCGGGAUUCACAGCUUUGAUUAGCUGCGCUUCCUUAAAUACAUGGAUGCACUACAGCUGAAGGUGUCCUUGUCAUAAAUGUCGAGGUUUUCCAAAAGCUUAGAUGCAAGAUUGCUCUUGUGCAGAGUAAUCAAAUGCGACCACUUCAUUGCGGAAGCAGCUUCUAAACAUGACCUCACGGGGGUGGGAUGACCCGCUAGACUUAAGCAUAUUAAUCAGCGGAGGAAAAGAAACUAACAAGGAUUCCCCUAGUAACUGCGAGUGA
rnacentral:rRNA from 1 species